rnacentral:lncRNA from 1 species
AAGCAAGGGUCUCUAGGGCUGGGCCCCCUCUCACCGCCCCCUCUCACCACCCCUGCUCCAGACCCAGCCCACCCGCUCUCCAACAGGUGGGGACGAGGGAGCCCUGGGCUGGGACCUUUGCCACCUCCUUUCCGGGGCGCCCACCCACCCCUGGGGCUGGGGCUCGGAGCUGCCCACAGGCCGGGACUGGAAGGGGCCGAGCCUCCCUCUGGGCGGGCGGGGCCCGAGCGGGGAGGGAGCCUGGCGGGGAGGAGCCGCGGGAGGGGCCGCGGAGGCGCGGCGCGCGCGGGAAGGGGCCGCGGUGACCGAGCCGCAGGGCGCAGGGAGGGGCCGCGGGAGGGGCGGGAGCGCCCGGGGCGGGCGGUGCGCGGAGCCCGGCGCGGGCGGCGGAGAGGCGGCGGCCGCGGCGCGAGGAAGCCGGAGCCGGAGCGGGGAGGGCGCGCCAGGGGCAGCACCUGCGUGCGGCGCAGCGGGGCUUCCGAACACGUGCCCUUCUCGGUGAACCCACAGUGCUCUGUUUGUUUGCCUUCUCUCAGCUCACGCAUUCUUCGAGGCUUGGUAACCGGAAUGUUUUGUCUGUUCAGGCUCCAAACAGUCAGUGGGAUAGGAACCAAAGUGAAGUACCUCUUGCUGUGUCAAGAUGAACCUGGGAAACUGGCAGCCGUUGCCUGGACUGCUUCUCUGAAUCCUCUGGUACAUCUUUUUGUCUCUAGUUUUAAAAGUUCCCCAGAGGUCACCCGAAACCCGGAAUCUUGUCAGAAUAGGAUGGCGGUCAUUCUACAGUUCUCAUUAAACACAUUCAUCUCUCAAACUUUGGAGGGAGCCAAAAGGCCAAAAGCAAGAAUUCCAGAGCAUUGCCUACACUGGUCUGUUACCCUGAUAAAUGUCUAACAAAUUCGGUAUGUGUCUACGGGGCUUGACCAUUUGCUGGGCAGAGUUCCAGAACAGUGAGACAUCUUGGAAUUCAUCUGGUUUAGGAAAGACUUUUAACUACCAGCUGGGAGUCACCUCAAGUGUUCUGUAAAUAGUCAAGUCUUGAGGCCUUUGCUCUGUGGUCUGUUCUGAUGGAUGGCUCCCCACCGAGUGAAACAGAAGGAUGACCUUGUUCUGUGAGCAGGACGAUAGUGAAAGAAGGAGCUGUGUGUGUGGAAGUCUGUG